rnacentral:rRNA from 1 species
AUUGAACGCUGGCGGCAUGCCUUACACAUGCAAGUCGAACGGCAGCGGACCUUCGGGUGCCGGCGAGUGGCGAACGGGUGAGUAAUAUAUCGGAACGUACCUUUCAGUGGGGGAUAACGUAGCGAAAGUUACGCUAAUACCGCAUAUUCUGUGAGCAGGAAAGCAGGGGGAUCGCAAGACCUUGCGCUGAUUGAGCGGCCGAUAUCAGAUUAGCUAGUUGGUGAGGUAAAGGCCUACCAAGGCGACGAUCCGUAGCUGGUCUGAGAGGACGACCAGCCACACUGGAACUGAGACACGGUCCAGACUCCUACGGGAGGCAGCAGUGGGGAAUUUUGGACAAUGGGCGAAAGCCUGAUCCAGCCAUUCCGCGUGAGUGAAGAAGGCCUCGG